AGAAGCAAUAGUAGCUCUUUUGAAUGUAUGGUAUCAGAACUGUGCUCACAUCCCAUACUUUGGGAACUUCCUGAAAGAGUGAAAACAUCAAGCAGUUCCAGAUAACAGUUUUGAAGAGGCAGAACUCCUUGAAACCAUUACUUUAAUGGACUGACAGAGCAGAAGAAUCAACCAUUCCUGAGGAUUCUUCUUUACUUGGCAUCUAUGGAGAGAAGAAUAGUCCCACAGCACAGUUCAGAUAUAAGAGAAGCAAUAGCAUUCUUUGACUCAGUUAUUGCAGAUCUGGAUUCAGAGAGAUGGCGGAGAGUUCCUGACAUGGAUUUGCCAAACGUGGAUGUUGAUUUCGAUGUUGCUAAGAGCACACGUGAACACAGUUUACAUUCAAACUGGAUCCUUCGUGCUCCCCGCAGGUACUCUCAAGAUACUGCCCAAACAGCCAAGGCUGCAAACCAGUCUCAGAGAAACAGCCAACGGAGAACCACUGGCUCUAGGAAGAGGUUGGAAAGACAUCCCAUGUACUUGCCCAAAGCGGUGGAAGGAGCAUAUAACACGUUAAAAUUUAAGCCCAAAACACAUAAGAGAGAAUAUUGA
rnacentral:lncRNA from 1 species